rnacentral:rRNA from 1 species
GAUGAACGCUGGCGGCGUGCCUAAUACAUGCAAGUCGAGCGAAUGGAUUAAGAGCUUGCUCUUAUGAAGUUAGCGGCGGACGGGUGAGUAACACGUGGGUAACCUGCCCAUAAGACUGGGAUAACUCCGGGAAACCGGGGCUAAUACCGGAUAACAUUUUGAACCGCAUGGUUCGAAAUUGAAAGGCGGCUUCGGCUGUCACUUAUGGAUGGACCCGCGUCGCAUUAGCUAGUUGGUGAGGUAACGGCUCACCAAGGCAACGAUGCGUAGCCGACCUGAGAGGGUGAUCGGCCACACUGGGACUGGGACACGGCCCAGACUCCUACGGGAGGCAGCAGUAGGGAAUCUUCCGCAAUGGACGAAAGUCUGCCGGAGCAACGCCGCGUGAGUGAUGAAGGCUUUCGGGUCGUAAAACUCUGUUGUUAGGGAAGAACAAGUGCUAGUUGAAUAAGCUGGCACCUUGACGGUACCUAACCAGAAAGCCACGGCUAACUACGUGCCAGCCGCCGCCGUAG